rnacentral:pre_miRNA from 1 species
AUAAUUAUAGGAUCGUCGAUCUACCGAGUAAAUUCACCAGCUCGGUGUAAGAAGAUCUUCUCUUUGUCUU